UGGGCUAGAGUUCCCUAUAUACUUGUAAGG
rnacentral:piRNA from 1 species